rnacentral:lncRNA from 1 species
UCCAACGAAUUUUGGAACAAAAACUAACUGAGGCAUCCAAGCUACUGAGGCAUCCAAGCUACUGCUUUUGCUGCUGAUCAUCUCCAUGCCAGGCCCAAACUAUGUCCUUCAGUGCUGGCCGGAUGUCUUCUUCAAAUAAUUUCUGAUACUCAAGAAAAUCACCGCUUGUUUGUUUCAUCUCAACAAGAUGAUGAAGUGGUGUGAUCUCAAAGAUCUCUGUGUCAAACUGAAGGACACCAUUCCUUCCCUCCUUCCUCCCUUGAAUCUUGACAACACCAUUAUCCUUCUUCCUUACCCUGAGAUUCAACAUCUUUGCGACGUCUUCAAUCUUCAAGAUGAUGGCCGAGGCUGACUUGUCUGAAGUAAAUCUUGCCUCCUUUCUGCACUCCUUUUCAAGAAAGAGGCCAGAUAGAUCAAACCCUGAGGAGAAAGAGAUAAUUUCAAAGGCAUUUAAGUUUGUCACAGUCAGCGGUUUUGCAUCUUCAUAAGGAUUCUUUUUGCGCCUCACAGAAAGUGUUGGAGCAGCAUUUGUGGUGGCAUUCUCACAGGGAAUUUUCUCCUUAACUGUGCGGGUCCCCUCGGGACCUUUUCUGAACCAGGUAGACUCUUUUAUUUUCUGGAUUGAAAUUCUUGUGGCUGGGUUGGGGUCCAGGAUCUUGUACAACAGCUUCUUGAGUUUGUGUGAAAACCAACUGGGGCACCUGAAAUCACCAUGCUGUACCUUUCGAUACAUCUCCAUCAAGUUUGGGCCUUGGAAAGGGAGAUAACCAGCAACAAGAACAAAUAGAACAACACCGCAAGACCAGAUGUCUGAUUUUGCACCAUCAUAGCCUAUCUUGCUGAUCACCUCUGGAGCUACAUAUGCUGGUGUUCCACAGGUGGUAUGGAGCAAUCCAUCUUGCCUUUUCGACUCCGAAAGUGCGCUCAGUCCAAAAUCAGAUACCUUCAGGUUCUCAUCCUCAUCCAGCAGCAGGUUCUCAGGCUUCAGGUCCCGGUGGU